rnacentral:RNase_P_RNA from 1 species
ACUGCAAGCUAGACUAUCGCUGUACGCAAGUAGAGAGGAAAGUCCGGACAGCACAGAGCAAUGUACCACCUAACGGGUGGGUGUGUUUCAUCGCACACAGAAAGUGCCACAGAAAAUAACCGCCUUGUGUUUACAAGGUAAGGGUGAAAAUGGGCGGUAAGAGCGCCCAACGGACUCGGGUAACCGAGCCGGGGGUAAACCUUACAGGCUGCAAUGUCAAAUAAGUGAACGCUUGAGGGCGGCUCGUUCGAUGUUCACGGGUAGACAGCUAGAGGUGUUUAGCAAUAAACAUCCCAGAUAAAUGAUAGUCGGGUUGUUCGCAACCUCACAGAAUCCGGCUUAUGGCUUGCAGUUUUU